rnacentral:rRNA from 1 species
CCUCCUUUGUUCCUCCUUUUUUCCUCUUCCUCCCUUUUCUCCAUCCUGACGGAGCAACGCCGCGUGAUCGAAUGAAGGCCUUCGGGUUGUAAAGAUCUGUUGACAGGGACGAAUAAGCAAUGCGAAUAGUUUUGUGUAUGACGGUACCUGUUUAGAAAGCUCCGGCUAACUACGUGCCAGCAGCCGCGGUAAUACGUAGGGAGCAAGCGUUGUCCGGAAUUACUGGGCGUAAAGGGCGCGUAGGUGGGCGCUUAAGUCAGGUGUGAAAACUCCGGGCUCAACCUGGAGACUGCACUUGAAACUGGGUGUCUUGAGGGCAGGAGAGGAAAGUGGAAUUCCUAGUGUAGCGGUGAAAUGCGUAGAUAUUAGGAGGAACACCAGUGGCGAAGGCGACUUUCUGGACUGUACCUGACGCUGAGGCGCGAAAGCGUGGGUAGCGAACGGGAUUAGAUACCCCAGUAGUC